GCUUCAAAUAGCUCAGUGGUAGAGUGUGUGCUUAACAUGCACAAGGCCCUGGGUUCAAUCUCUUGAACCA
rnacentral:tRNA from 1 species